rnacentral:lncRNA from 1 species
GAGAUCUUUUUUUUUUUUUUUUUUUUUUUGUCUUUUGUCUUUAUAGGCCCCCUGGGAACCUCCAUAUGCUGCAGGUGUGGCCCUAAAAAGGACAAAAGACAAAAAAAAAAAAAAUUUAAAGGACAAAUACAACAUAACUGAAAAUGAUUACCCUAAUUUUAGAAAGACAAAACUAAAAUCAAUGAUGACGAUGGGUAUGUAUAGGAGACCAUGGUUUAAGGAAGCUUUUGCAACUGAGCAGCAACAAAUAUUAACUGAGAAUCCUCUAACUAUGGCCAAAGUGAGACAUGCGAUAUAGGCACAAUCUUAAUUUAAUUUUUUAAAAACAGUUCAGAUUAGGUCCAAAUAGAUUUAAGAAAAAUUUCAGAGCUGCAUUCACGUACAGUGUAAACCCAACUCAUUCUUCUUAAGUAACCGAACCUUACAGAAUUGGUAGGAAAUGUCCUAUUACCCAUAGCUGUUUUAAUAACCUACUCUUGUUUGUAGAUUUUUUUUUUUUAAAGUGGCUAUAAUCAAUAGACCCUACCAUUCAUCCAGGGGGAAACUAGUAGAAAUUAGCUAAGGAAAUCAGAAACACUAGCUUACAGGUGGGGUGUUGUUAUGUAACACAGUGGUGACAGCACUGAAAGUAGAAUCUGACUGCUUGGACCAAAUCUCUCUCCUACAUUACAAGCUGAAUGACUUGGAAAACUACUUAAUCCCUCUGUGUCUCAAUUUCCCAUCUGUAAGAUGAAGAUAAUAACUGUAACACUUUGAUGGGUUCUUGUGAAGAAAAACUGGUGCUUGUAACGUAGACUGCCUGACACUCAGUGCAUAUACAAUAUGAGCAGUAUUGGAUGUCAGUCAGCAACAUGGAGUGGCUGGCUGUGAUUUUGGAGAAAUCUCCUAAUUUCUUCUCUUCAUUUCCCUCCUGAAAAUUUGAUACAGAACAGGCUUGUCAAUUGGUCUGUAUUGCACUGAUGAUCAUCACAUAGAAUAAAACCUUAUAACAUUUUAAUAUAAAAUAUAAGAACUUAACUCUAGUUUUCAUUCUCAUAUUUUCCUAAAAAUGCUAUUCAGUAAAUUUGUGUGUUGCAAUGCAGUUUUUAGAGAGUAUAGUUCCAUAUGCUUUUUGCUGUUGUAUGGUUUUGUUUCUUUUUUUUUUUUUAAUAUUUGGUAACUCUCUGGGGUAAUUGUCUAAAGAGUUUUUUCAACUUUAGGGGAAUAAAAGAAUGAGAAUAUACGCUAAUGGAAAUCAUUUGGAGAAACCUGAGUAAAUCUAGUAAUUGCGUGCCAUCUGUGGUAAGGAAAUUAAAUAGUGCACUCAACGUGAUUCAAUAAUUAAAUAUGUAUUUAUUAAAUCAUUUGUAAUAGCUUUAGUAUAUGACCUCAGGUCUCAAAGGCAACCACACAGUGAUUACCCUUGAAGCUUCAUGGAAAAGUGAAUUACAGAAUCAACUUUCUGUUCUUUUACUGCCUGGAUAUGCUUUACCUUGAAACUUCAUUGUAAAAGAAACUUCCCUGUUCCUCACAACUCUUGCACACAACUUCAUCACCACAGCGUGACAUGGGGUGGGGUUGUGGAGGGGAUGCUGAAUGUCAUGAAAAGUUGAUAGUAAACAGAAACAGUCAAAAAUCACCUGUGGGAGAUGGCAGAUGAGCAGAGAUACGGAGACAGAAGGCAGGCACUCUGCAUGGCAGCUGGACAGGAGAGAAGGUGCAUUAGUCAAAUGAAUUACAAAAAAAAUGAAAUUAAAUUCCAGAGAGCUUCUUCACAUUAUUAAGUUUUUUCAGACUUCGAGAUAGAUUCUUAGUUGCCUCUCUCCCUUCUUGCCACGGUGUUACUUAGGGCAAAAAAUUUAAAUCUUAGCGUUUGGAGAACAAUGUAGAUCUUAAGUGAUCAACUUAGGAAAUGACAUGUUUCAUAAAACAUAGACUGAUUUUAACGUGGUAAACUUGAAUGACUUACUUUUAAAAGUCCAUUCUCACAGAUCGUGUCCAAAUAUUUGUUUUAUAAAUCCACAAGUUAAUGCUCAGGAUGUGUUUUCUUACUUCGUAAGCUAGAUUUCCUGGACAAUAUGAUGAAAAAAAAAAAAAA